UCCUGGUUUCCCAGGCAGUCCUGCCAGAGUGCUUAAUCUAAAAGACAAUUGCAACUGACAGCAGGGGUUGCGCUCGUUAAAGGACUUAACCCAACAUCUCACGACACGAGCUGACGACAGCCAUGCAGCACCUGUGUAAUUGUCCAAACCGAAGCUUGAAAAGUCAUAUCUCUAUGACGGUCAAAAACAUGUCAAGCCUAGGUAAGGUUCCUCGCGUAGUGACGAAUUAAACCACAUGUUCCACCGCUUGUGCGGACCCCCGUCAAUUCCUUUGAGUUUUAGCCUUGCGACCGUACUCCCCAGGCGAAUCACUUAAUGCGUUAGCUUUGAUACUAAUCCGGCAAGCCAGACUAACAUCUAGUGAUUAUCGUUUACAGCGUGGACUAC
rnacentral:misc_RNA from 1 species